CUCGGCGGAUCAGCCCGCUCCCGGUAAAACGGGACGGCCCGCCAGAGGACCCCUAAACUCUGUUUCUAUAUGUAACUUCUGAGUAAAACCAUAAAUAAAUCAAAACUUUCAACAACGGAUCUCUUGGUUCUGGCAUCGAUGAAGAACGCAGCAAAAUGCGAUAAGUAAUGUGAAUUGCAGAAUUCAGUGAAUCAUCGAAUCUUUGAACGCACAUUGCGCCCGCCAGUAUUCUGGCGGGCAUGCCUGUUCGAGCGUCAUUUCAACCCUCAAGCCCAGCUUGGUGUUGGGACUCGCGAGUCAAAUCGCGUUCCCCAAAUUGAUUGGCGGUCACGUCGAGCU
rnacentral:rRNA from 1 species